UCCAAUGUAUCUAAUAUCCAUAUUGGGUCUACUCAAUAUAUAAGUUCUAUAAGUUCUAUUAUAUCUACUCCCCCUUUUUGUCAUCAACAAUGAAGGGGACAAAUUAUCCUUAGGUGCUUACAGCAUACUUCCUAGUAAAAUUCAGCAUAUUUCCAUGAACCACUCAAGGAUAUUCAAGUUGUGCUCCCCCUGUCCAAGUUAUUUCUAUUAAUGAAUUUAGUCAUUCAUAUCACUCCCCCUUUGUUUUGGUAUUCAUUUCAG
rnacentral:lncRNA from 1 species